rnacentral:rRNA from 1 species
AUGACUUCCUCCUCGCCGCUGCUCUUGCUCGCUCUCAUGUUGGCCUGGUCAGCACCAGCCUUCCUCCCGGCGCGCGCCGGCGCCGGCGACCAGGGACUCAAGCACAUCCACCUGUACAUGCACGAGAUCUUCGCCGGCCCCAACGCCACGGCGAUCGUGGCGGUGCCAUCACCACUGGGCGCCAACGCGACGUUCGGGGUGGUCGGCGUGCUCGAUGACGAGCUGCGCGACGGGCCGGACCCGAAGAGCUCGUCGCUCGUGGGCCGGUACCAGGGCAUUUUCGCCGGAGCCGGGCUCGUGAGCCCGCCGGGCAUGCAGUCGGCGAUCAACUUCGUGUUCACGGCUGGGGAGCACAGCGGGAGCACGCUGGCAAUGCUGGGGCCUGUUCUGAGCUUCACGGGUGCCAUCGAGCGCUCCGUGGUGGGCGGCACCGGCGCGUUCAGGAUGGCGCGUGGGUACUGCGUCAUGACGGCCGCGGGCAACCCCACGCCGGACUCCAUCGUCUAUGAGGUCGACCUAUUUGUGAAGAUGGAUUAUGCCUGA